CCACUAAGACGUACACAGGCGGGAGGGCACAAGCACAGAAGAGAGGAAGAGCUACCAAAUCUAUAUCUAUAUCUAUAUCUAUAUUCUAUAUUCUAUAUUCUAUAUCUUCUUAAUGAGCGCAAUGCCCAUUUAGCUCUUUACCCAUAUUUUACCCGAUUCACAGUGUUAAUCAUCAGCUCAGCGUGACCCGUUUAGACAACAUAUAACUGGAAUAUAACCGGAUUCGCAUGCUCCUUCGUGACCUUUGCAUUUAUGACAUACUCCGAUGCUGCCUUCCUCGCGCGCAAUCUGUGUAGAAUCAAAUCAGUGUCUUCGACCUAAAUUCUUCAAUCGCAUUCAAGGCUGGCAUAUCAAUUUCUCUAAUCUACACGAAAGAAUCGGUAAUGAGGCUCAGGUUCUUUCAAAUUUCAAAAUUACUAUCAGUGGUAAUUUUCGUCCCUGCUCUUUAGCCGCUUCAUCUCUCCACUCUCUCUCUCUCUACAAAUCAGAUGGAACCUAAGAAAAAAAAAGGCACUUCCCCAUCUACGAAGCGAGCUAAAUCUGGCGGUGGCAAACAGAAAAAGAAGCACCUCACACUUUGGAGCAAAGUAUUCAUCCGAGUUUAUUUACCGGAUAUUUGGCAGAUUUCCUGAUUUUUCAUCGAGUUUGGUAGAAUUUAGUCUGUGUAUUUUUUUUUUUAACAGCUACAUUCAUUUGGAGCUUGCGUAUAUUAUGGUUACAUUUAAAGUCUUCUUAUUUUUGUAUUAGCAGCUCUGUGCCAUAUAUUUCCCUGAUUUGCUCCGUCUGUUGCUGGAUUUAUUGCAGCGUAUAAGAAUAUGUUUAACAGCUAUCUUUGUGCAUAGUAAAUUUUAAGAUAUAGUUGUUGGAUAGUUUUUUAUGUACAUAUCUCACAUCAAUUUUAAUAAUAUGUUUAAUAUGCUCUUACACUACUCUUGGAACACAUUGGAGGCCGUCAAUGGGUGGAUUUGUAUAAACUGACGUUUUCCAUUCCCACAAAAACUUAAUAUGUUCUUAAUAAUUGUUAGUGGAGCAAGGAUUUUGUAUUGAAAAAAGCAUGACCUAUCCAAAAAAUAAUCGCAUUAUACCCAUAUUUUUUUUACCCCAUUAUUGCUUUUACCCGGUGCUCUGCUGAGCUCUGCUAUCCAUUCUCAUUUUCUCUGUUUUUAGGCCACUGAAAUUAAUGAUGUUGUUUUUUAUGUUCCAUAAUACUUUAAAUGCAGACACACAAACAAUCAUGGAGUCCAAGCAAACUUUUCAUUCUAGGCCAGAACAUGGGAAUGUGAAUACAGGAAAACUAUCAGUGGCAGAAAUCGUUAUACUCAAUGUAAGGAUGUGAAGGUUGUUCAGCAAUAGAAGGUCGGGUGACAUUCUGAUGAAGCAAAGGAGCACAACUGGUCUCACUGACCUGGAACUUACUGAAGUUGACAUACAGAAUUAAUAUCUAGCAGCUGUGUGCCAUAUAUUUGAUUCAAGAACAAACUGGAACAGGACCUGCUAAUAAGAGUUAAUGAGACCAAGGCUUGAGGAAGUAAAUUGAUGGAUAUUAGAGAAGUCAUAAUGCGAAGUAGAUUGUUUGUGGAAAACCAGACAUAGCAAACAACAGAGGCUGGACAGAAUUUCAGAUGAUGGCAUCGGAGUAUAAGGCAGAGAUUCACCAUAUUCUUGAAAACUCUCUCCUUGAUCUUCCCUAAACUCAUUAAUUAUUAAUCUGGAUUUGAAAUUUACAUAGGUUAAGUUUUUAUAUAUUUGAAAGCCAUGGAAUUGAACCAAAUUUAGAUCCAUUUUAUUCUUCAAAAUUUAACAUGCCAAUUAAAUGAUAUGUUUGUAUAUUAAUAUGUCAUUACUGUAUAAGGUGAAGAGAUCAUCUUUGUAAGUCAAUUGUUGAUGAAUAUAUUAUGUGAUUUGUAACUUGCUUAUAACUGUAGAAAUAUGGUUCCUCUGCCCUUUAUCAUACUCUACUUGAAAAGGUUUGCAACUUUCCUCGCUGGGAGGAACCAGUCUGCAUCUCAAUUGCUUGACAUGUUAUUCAAGAGAGCAAAGGGAGAAGGCUGGCCCUUUGAUAUAUUUUGAAUGGCUCGGCCUGAUGCUGUUUGUAAUUGUCCCUUUCCCUGGUACAGGCCCUUGGACAGGAGCCAUAAUUGCUUCUGUUCUUAGACAUGCCAUUCUGGUCUGCUGUCUCGGCACACUUUUUUGGUGUUGUCCUGGCUGGCUUUUUGGUGAACUUGCUGGUGAAUCUUGGCCUGAAGUAUGAUGUACUUACUGGCUCUGGCCUCCAAACUAUGUAAAGGCUAAAUGUUGAUGCAUCCCUUUACCAUGCUAAGUUGGUAGGCUACUAUACUGGGUUGGUAGGCAUGGGGUAAUAGCACGAUUAUUUAGUGGAGAAAUCAUGUUUGCAGCUACCAGAAGAGAAUGAACAUAACAGCUUCUGGAGGUUGCAUACUAUGGGGACAACAUUGAGAAAGAGUAGGAUAUGAGUUACACAGCAGACACUGACAUUUGCUGUGAAAGCGGCAGGGGAAGGCAUCCCUGAGCUGGCUAGAGAAGCAACAUACAUCUUUAUCUGGUGCUUAACUCGACACUCUGAUUGUUAUAAGCAGUGGGAGAAUAUCUGUUUGGAUAAUCUAGAAGCAAGUCUUUUGAUAGGGGAAAAGCUUACGGAGGAGGGGAGGCAACUUUGAGCAAAUCGAUCAUCUCUGGAAGGUCUAGGGGAAACUCUUAAGAGUUUGAGGCACAAGAACAAUCUCAAGGUGCUCAUCAUUCCCUCUUUAAGGAUGCUGACAAAUAUUGUAAGUGGCUGAUCGGAAAGAUAUCCCGAGGAAAUGUUUGCAUGAAAAGUUUGGCCAUUGUCAUAAUUGCCCGUGGAGUGGGUACUGUUAUGUCCGCCACCAUCGAGUCUUUGGAUUGGAAGCAACUUUCCGUCUUCUUCAACCAGCAAUCCUUCUUAACCAGGUAAAGAAGCAAAUUUGCAGCCAGGAGGUAUCCAGGACCUGCAACAUUGAUCCAUAAUGAUAUUGACAUCAAACAGAACAAGUUCCGCUUCAAUAAAAAGUAUGAGAUGUCUGAGAUGCUCUUGGGUGAAUUAUGAACCCUUCGAAUAUAUAAAUAGUUGAGAGAAGAUAGACUUGGGUUUUAAUAUCUGAUGAAAAUAUAAUAAUGGUGGUUUAUGGCAUGAACUUUUAGUACUUUUCGGAUACAUAGAUGUUUAUAUAUAAAUUCUGGAAUAUUUUGUUUUUUUUA